rnacentral:misc_RNA from 1 species
AACCUGCGGAAGGAUCAUUAACGUUAGCGCUCAAAACGCAACGUCUUUGAAAUCGAAAAACCUUUGCCGUUAGUGCAAUUUCGAAAGCGAAAACGUAGCAGCACGCACGCUUUUGCGUGCGUGUGUCGUUACGGUCGAGCGCGAGCUUGAGGAUGCGUAAGCCAUUCGUGGACGCGCGCAAAAGGGAGCGACGGAGGAGAGAUGCUUCGGCGCCGGCAGGCGACUCUCGAGUCGUAGCCGUCGUUGCGUGGAUCGUCGCAUCGGGAAUUCGGGCCCCCUCUCAACUUGAGAGGACGGCAAGGAGACCCCUGUGGCUGUACAUCAUUACGAGCGAUGGACGAUCUUUUAACACGCCAACGAAAGACGCUGCUGCUGCUUCUCCGCUCUCUGGAGCGCGCGAUCGAACGCGAGAAUGCGAUUACGAUGCAUACAGCUCAGCCGCCGACGCGGAUGACUCGCAGUGGCAACCUCGAUGGAACGGUUGAAGCCUACAUGUCCCGUGCGAACGGUGGCGUAGGUCUCUCAAUCCGGAGGUUUUUAAAUGAAUCUUCGCCCGCUAAGACGAGACAUCUCGCGUCGUUUCGACGCAACGCCCGCGCUUAAGCGCGGGCCGACGGGCUCUCCUCGAGCCUCGUCACCCCCUGUCUGGCUCGUUGGCCGGGUGCCCCGUGCUCCCGCGUCCAUACGACUCGUGAACGAACAAAUAUCAAAACACGAUUGCUGACGCAAGUCAACAAACGAAUAAUAUUUAAUGAUUACCCUGAACGGUGGAUCACUUGGCUCGUGGG